GCUGAAGCAUCAUUACCAGCUGUUAUAUGCUGUUAUUUAGAUGUGGUUUGCGUACCAGUAGUUUUUUGAAGAGGAGGAUGAACUGUCAAUAUCAAAAACGGCUAGGAGUGAAGGCUUGCCUUGUUUUUUGGGUGCUGACUCCUCCCCUCUUGCAUUUGGGCUGGAGGGGAAGGAAGCUAGUUCUGCAGUUUAACUAAUGCCAGUUCAGAGUUUAUGGACCACUAGGUUUUUAUGCGCAGUGUCUUUUCCUGAGUCUGAUAGUCAUCACACAAGGGAACACUUAGACUACAAGUUAUGGGAGCUGAAUUUCCUUGUAAAUUAAACUUAAAAGUCUUAAACUUGCAUUUCAUGAACACUUUUUGAAAGAAAAAUAAGGCAAGGUAUCUAGGAUAAUCAAAACUUAACUACUGCUCAGUUGUGUGCCUGUUCACAUGCUGCUUAUAGAUAAAUUCUUUCAACCUGAAUCUCCCUAAAAACUUCCUUUUUUUUUUUAAAAAAAAAAAAAGGGAAGAGCUUCUCAUCCUAGUAGCUAUUUAACAAGCCACAGAGCAGAAAUACCAGUUAGAAUUUAGCUAUUAAGCUGACUUGCUAAGCCUGUUAUGGAGAGCAUCCACACUGCUAUGGAGGAAAUGAAUAUGGAGCUCAACUGCUGAUCCUCUAAAGUGGCCCCGUCUUCUGUAGAGCUGGUUCUUCUUUGAUUUACUUUAGAAGUACCGUUAACAAAGUAGCAACUGAUUCCUGUUGGGGAAAGUGUCCUCUCCGAAGUUGUUCCUUUCUGAAGAUACAGCAAAUGCACCUUACGCAGGCACACACAGAAAGUUCCUGAGUUGUUCCCACGGAAGCUAUGGGUAAUUAAAGCUCUUUAUGACUGUGGUCCACUGUUUUUUUUCCAGGCUUUCUUUGGUUUUGUAUUCCUGCUGAUGGCUGAAGUUGCUUUUAUUGCAAGAUGUAUUAUUUUAAAGAAAUGAGUGCACAUGUAUUAUCAGUAAAACAUCCUGUCUGGAGUGACUGGUUUAGACCCUACCUAAAUUACAGUUACUGUUUUUGUUAGCAGGGUCUUAUUCAUAGCUAAAUAUGUGAUUUGGGCGCUAUGUUACAUGCAUGGUAGAUGACAGUCCUGUACUGUGGUAAAGCCCUGCAGUCAUUGUUUGCUUUCAUCUUCAUUGUGUAAAUUAACUGUUAUAUUUAAGUUUGGGAAGAAAAAAGGUUUUGCAUUUUGUUUCCAUGUGUGUGUUCGUAGAUAGACUGUGCUUGUCCUAAAGGUCUUGUAAGAAUAACAGUUUCUCAAAUCUGUCUGGUGAAUGACUGUAUUUAUCAGUAGUUUGGUCAUGAGUUUCUAAAGACAAGUACUCUUGAGGCAAGGAAAACCAUGAAAAGAAAUGAUUCCACUUACACAUGGAGUGCUCUUUAAGCUCCAGUGAGAAAUGAAUUUAAUUGUCAUGUAGGAAACUAUUUUGUUUCCCUUCAAAAACAGUCAUUUUCUCAUCCUAUCUGUGACUGCUAAGUAGAAUGGAAUUUUGUUUUUUUCAAUGCGCUUUGUUUUUCAUCUUCGUUAAUGUUAAAUCAAUUUCCGAACAUUAACAGUGGAAUAAAUAAGCUUAUUAUCCCCCUACACCAUCCAUGCAGGAAAGUAAUUUUCAAAAUAUUUUGAAGGAUGACAGUGACACAAUAUUUGUCAUCUUGCUCUGUUGAAACCUUACAGAGAAGCCAAACAUGUGAUGGGUUGUAUCAGUGAAGCUUUGCUAUAGUGAAUGGUUAACUGGUGAUCUGCAUAAGGGCACUCGGCACACACAUCAUUCUGAGACAAGUGGAGGUAUAGGAAAAUGGGAAUAUCGACUUCAAAAAACCAAGAAGACCAUAACUCUAGCUUCUGAACAUCAGUUGUUCAGUAUUUGCUCUUUAAUUCAUCUCCUUGACAAAAUAAAAAAAUCCUGACAUGUAUCUCUUAAACUUAAUACCAACUAAUCAGUUUUUACAUAUUAGAGAUUAACUGCAGUUUCUAGCUAUUAACCGAGGAAUUGAGCAUACCCUGAUGGCUGUGAUAAUGUAAGCUGAUGCUCCUGUUUUCUAGCUCUCUUUGCACUUCAUUAAGGUACAUGACAGAUUGAGAGCCCAUUUUAACUUGCAGUCUGUCCCAGUACCCUUCACUAUUUUGUUGGGAAGUCACAGAGGAAACGCUAAGACUUAACUAACAUACUGUUUUGAAAAAAGAAUUGUUAAAGAUGAAAUCACUAAUGGGUAUGUUUUCUCUCAUUCUGUCACCAAGGCUUUAUCAAAUUAUUAGUGAAAUUUCAGGUAAGUGCAGGGGCAUCUGAAGCGUUUGGAAGAAAUGAUAUAAUCAGACACAAAAUUUCAAAGAUUCAGUUCACAAAACUGAACCUAGAUGACAUUCAAUAAAGCCUAUCUGAAAACAGACAAGAAGCCCAACCUGAAACCAGUUUGGGAGGAGGAGGGUUGGCCACACAGUGGACACCUGAUCCAUGGAUUGAUUAGGUUUGAUAUGUUAGAGGCCUCAGAGGAAGCCACCUUUCCUUGUGUUCACAGGGAAUGACUGUGCUUUAUUUCUUUUUUUCAUGCUAAGUUGCAUGAAGGUUUAUUUUCUGGUGGUCUUAAAAUUUGAUUUCUGCAGCAGUUUUUGUUUCCAUCUUGCUAGUGUCUGUUGAAGAGCUACCGCCAGCCUUUGUGAAUAAAGCAUCAAAAAACCAAUGAAGGCAGGCAUUUAUAAAAUACGUACUGGGUUCUUUUUAAAAUGCUUCUUCCUUGUUUUGUUCACUUACAGUUCUUACCACCUCCAGGUGAUCCAAAACCUACUUCCAAGUGAGACAUAAUAGCCUUUCCCAGUAAAGUGAUGCUGGGACACAUGUUUUAGAAAUACCAAUGUGUGUUGCCAGGUGUGGUGCUGCAGGUCUGAUACCUGCUACCUUGCCUUCUGCAGUCCUCCUGGUUUGGGGAGAAGUGGUCAAAGAUGGAGCGAAGUCAGAGAGUGAGCUAUUCCCCUCCCUAGCCACCUUCAGAAGAUUGUUCCAGGUAAGGCUGGCUUUGUGUGGGCCUCCAGGGAAAGUCUGUGGUUGGGCUGAGAUGUGAGAGAAGAGGAGAGGAUUUUCCAGCCUGGUGAGGGUUGUCCAUAUGCUUAGUGACAUCUGAUCCACUUUGGGCAUUCAUUGGGAAUUAACUUUUGUGUUUCAAAGUUCUUUGUCUAUGUUAAUGUGUGUUCCUCCAGGGCAAGAGUGGUUUAGGUGUGCUCUCCUGGGGUGCCACUGAGGGCCCUCAUAAGCUAUUACAGCUAUUACUUUAUGCAUCUACCAGGGAAAAUCGCAAUCUCAGGAACUGCACUCUGAGUUCUGGCUUUAAUGAUUAAGUUGGUGGUUUUUUAAUUACUAGUGAAAGCUUCCUGCACAGCAUGCAUGCCGUGACAAAAAAACCCAACUGUUUAUAAAAUACACGCUGGGCUGUUAAGAUACUCAAACCAGCUUAGGGUGUCUGGGAAGCUGAUGCUGAAAUGGGAUGUUGAGAACUCCUUGAGGCUGUAGCACAUGUCUUGGAACACACUUGCUUGUCCUUAAAAUCCAAAAGUGAAGCGAAAUAAAUGUGGCUUCAGA